UACGUAGGGUGCAAGCGUUGUCCGGAAUUAUUGGGCGUAAAGAGCUCGUAGGCGGUUUGUCGCGUCUGCUGUGAAAACUCGGGGCUUAACCCCGGGCCUGCAGUGGGUACGGGCAGACUAGAGUGCGGUAGGGGAGACUGGAAUUCCUGGUGUAGCGGUGAAAUGCGCAGAUAUCAGGAGGAAUACCUAUGGCGAAAGCAGGUAUCUGGGCCAUCACUGACGCUGAGCUGCGAAAGCUAGGGGAGCAAACAGG
rnacentral:rRNA from 1 species